CCCUUAGAUGUUCUGGGCCGCACACGUGCUACACUGAUGCAUUCAACGAGUCUAAAACCUGGUCUGAUAGGGCUGGGUAAUCUUUUGAAAGUGCAUCGUGAUUGGGAUAGAUGAUUGCAAUUCUUCAUCUUCAACGAGGAAUGCCUAGUAAACGCAAGUCAUCAGCUUGCAUUGAUUACGUCCCUGCCCUUUGUACACACCGCCCGUCGCUCCUACCGAUUGAAUGAUCCGAUGAAUACCAUGGAUUGAGAGUACGAAUAGGUUCGCUUAUUUCUGCUGCUCGAGAAGUGGAGUAAAUCUUAUCAUUUAGAGGAAGGAGAAGUCGUAACA
rnacentral:rRNA from 1 species